rnacentral:lncRNA from 1 species
UAUGUAUAACUCAAAUUCCAUACCUAUUAUUGAAUUCUUUGCACCUUCGGAGACCAGCCAUAGACCAUGGGAGUCAAAACGUCCUGCCCCUAAUUAUGAUCUGUGUCCGGAGUUGAUUGCAAUAGGUCAAAACCAAACCUUUUCUAUAGCCGAGGUCCUAUCUUUUAAUCAAAAAGAUAAUGCACUUUUAGCUACACCUAGGGAAUGUGUUAAUCUUUCUAUAAAUUCUGGUUUAGACC